rnacentral:rRNA from 1 species
UACGUAGGGGGCAAGCGUUGUCCGGAUUUAUUGGGCGUAAAGAGCUCGUAGGCGGUUUGUCGCGUCUGCCGUGAAAGUCCGGGGCUCAACUCCGGAUCUGCGGUGGGUACGGGCAGACUAGAGUGAUGUAGGGGAGACUGGAAUUCCUGGUGUAGCGGUGAAAUGCGCAGAUAUCAGGAGGAACACCAACAGCGAAGGCAGCACUCUGGGCCGGUACUGACGCUGAGGAGCGAAAGCAUGGGGGGCGAACAGG